AAUGAACGUUGGCGGCGUGGAUUAGGCAUGCAAGUCGAGCGAGAACCCAGCAAUGGGGGACAGCGGCGUAAGGGACAGUAAUGUGUAGAUUAUCUGCCCUCGGGACCGGGAUAGCUGCGGGAAACUGCAGGUAAUACCGGAUAACAUCUCCGGAUCAAAGGUGUGAUUCCGCCCGAGGAUGAGUCUGCAUCCUAUUAGCUAGUUGGCAGGGUAAUGGCCUACCAAGGCUUUGAUGGGUAGCGGGUGUGAGAGCACGACCCGCGUCAUUGGGACUGAGACACUGCCCAGACACCUACGGGUGGCUGCAGUCGGGAAUCUUCGGCAAUGGGCGCAAGCCUGACCGAGCGACGCCGCGUGGGGGAUGAAGGCCUUCGGGUUGUAAACCACUGUUAGAGGGGAUGAAAUGCAGGUGGGUUCUCCCAUCUGUUUGACAUAGCCUCAGAGGAAGGACGGGCUAAGUUCGUGCCAGCAGCCGCAGUAA
rnacentral:rRNA from 1 species